rnacentral:rRNA from 1 species
GCUGAAAGGUAACCGGAUCGUUCCCAGCGUCUAGAAUCUGUGACAUAUUUCACUGGCGAGCGUGUACGUUUAUAUACUGUGGUAGCCGCUGUCUAGCUGCGCCUGGUGUAUAUAUAGUGCAUGUUUGCUAUUGCUUUGUGUUGCGGUGGGACGUCAAUGUCAGUUCAUGUGCUGCGGGAAAUGGCUGCCAAGGAGGUAGGGUUUACGCUUGCGUUUGCCUAUUAUAUCUUGGUGGACGAGUCGUCGCGGCUGGGACUGAGGUGCCUACAACGUGUUGCUAAGUGGAUGCACAUCUCUGUAUGCUCCGCGUGCAGAUAGCUUGCUAUGUGCAUGUUGCUGUGUACAGAUUGAAGAGUAUCUCAACUUGUCGCCGUUCGGGACAUUGGCGAAAUGGGGCGAUCCGACCCGUCUUGAAACACGGACCAAGGAGUCUAACAUAUGUGCAAGUGUUAGGGUGUGGAAACCCCAGCGCGAAAUUAAAGUAAAGGACAGCUCCGUUGUCUGAGGUAGGAAACGCUGCGGACUUCGGACUGCGGUGUGGCACUAUCGACCGAUCAUGAACCUUCGUGGUGAAAGAUUUGAGUUUGAGCACAUAUGUUGGUACCCGAAAGAUGGUGAACUAUGCCCGAGUAGGGUGAAGCCAGGGGAAACUCUGGUGGAAGCUCGUAGCGAUUCUGACGUGCAAAUCGAUCGUUGAACUCGGGUAUAGGGGCGAAAGACUAAUCGAACCAUCUAGUAGCUGGUUCCCUCCGAAAUUUCCCUCAGGAUAGCUGCAGCUUAUUUAUGAUAGUUUUAUGAGGUAAAGCGAAUGAUUAGAGGCCUCGGGAAAGAAUCUUUCUCGACCUAUUCUCAAACUUUAAAUCUGUAAGACCUGCAG